UAAAUUCAUUUUUUUUCUUUUCUUUGUAAUUGCACAAAUGGCCAGCAGAGGCACUAGCCGUCGAAAACCUUUUCCCAUCAGCCAGUGUGACAUCCGUUAUAAAAACGCUCCGCACACUCUGCUAGUCCUCACUCCUCGGCUGUCCACUUGGCCUUUCGACUGGAUGGCUGUACAAAUGAAAGUGGACAUUAAAUGGUCUCAGGUGGUCCAGAGACAUGAAGGGACUGGAGCGGAAAAAGGAGUGCUUACAUUGGAAGAAUUAACUUUUCGGUGACAUCAGAACAGGUCCCUAUUCUUGGAUCUAGUGAAUGUUCUUAGAUCAGCUAC